CCUACGGGUGGCAGCAGUGAGGAAUAUUGGUCAAUGGCCGGAAGGCUGAACCAGCCAUGCCGCGUGAAGGUCAGUGCCCUAUGGGCGUUAAACUUCUUUUGUGCGGGAGCAAUAAUGGUCACGUGUGGCCAGACGAGAGUACCGUACGAAUAAGCAUCGGCUAACUCCGUGCCAGCAGCCGCGGUAAUACGGGGGAUGCAAGCGUUAUCCGGAUUUAUUGGGUUUAAAGGGUGCGUAGGCUGUGAGGUAAGUCAGCGGUGAAAUGCCUCCGCUCAACGGGGUGAAGUGCCAUUGAUACUGGCUGGCUGGAAUGCGGAUGCCGUGGGAGGAAUGUGUGGUGUAGCGGUGAAAUGCAUAGAUAUCACACAGAACCCCGAUUGCGAAGGCAUCUCACGAAUCCGCGAUUGACGCUGAUGCACGAAAGCGUGGGUAUCAAACAGGAUUAGAUACCCUAGUAGUC
rnacentral:rRNA from 1 species